GGCUGAGCUUUGGAGAGUGCCAAGACAUGGUGAUAGCUGAGAUUCUUUGUGGCCCUCAAAGAAAUAGUUUUCUUCCCCUUGGGAGCAAUGUUAACCCUGUUGAGGCACGGAAGAGAGUAUGAAAAGACAAAAAGAGAGAUUCUAUAGUAGAGAAACCUGGCAGAUACCACCUUAACCGAGGCUAGCAUUGUCAAUAAAAGGCAUGUUCACGUGGAUAUCAUACACACACCCCCAUAGGAUGUGACUAGAAAGGCACCUAGCCUUUGUGAUAUUCUUUUUUUUUUUUUAGAUGGAGUCUUGCUCUGUCACCCAGGCUGGAGUGCAGUGGCUCGAUCUCAGCUCACCGCAACCUCCACCACCCAGGUUCAAGCGAUUCUCUGGCCUCAGCCUCCCAAGCAGCUGGGAUUACAGGCGUGUAAUUACAGGUCCGGCACCACCAUGCCCGGGGUCUUGCUCUGGCGACCAGACUAGAGUACGGUGGCACAAUCUCAGCUCGCUGCAACCUCCACCUCCAGAGUUCAAGCGAUUUUCCUACCUCAGCCUCCCGAGUAGCUGGGAUUGCAGGCAUGCACCACCAUGCCCAGCUAAUUUUUGCAUUUUUUAGUACAUGUUGAUCUCAAUCUCCUGACCUCAAGUGAUCCUGCCGCCUCGGCCUCCCAAAGUACUGGGAUUACAGGCAUGAGGCACUGCGCCUGGCCUAUGAUGAACUGUCCUUCUAAAACGGGGAAAUAUGGACACAGGCACAUACAGAGGAAGACAGCUGAAGACACAGGGAAGAGGGGACCAGAUAUAAACUAAGAAGAGACACCUGCAGUGGAUCCUUCCCCCACAGCCCAGAAGGAAGUAACUCUGCCGACACGUUGAUCCUGGACUUCCAGCCUCCAGAACUGGGACAGAAUGGAUUUCUGUUAUUUAAGCUCCCCUCUCCCCAGCCAGUGGUGCUCAGUUACUGCCGCCAGGCAAAUUCCAUCACUACCUGAAUGCAGUGUGGGAUCCUGGAUGGGAUCUUGCCACAGAAAAAGGACACCCAUGGAAAAACUAAUGAAAUCCGAACGAGAUCUAUAGUUUCUAGUUCAGAGUAUUGCACCAAUAUUAAUUUCUUCACUUUGACAUAUGUACAAUGGUAAUGCAAGAUGUUAACAUCGGCUGGUUGUGGUGGCUCACACCCAUAAUCCCAGCACUUUGGGAGGCCAAGGUAGGUGGAUCACCUGAGGUCAGGAGUUUGAGACCAGCCUGGUCAAUAUGGUGAAACCCCGUCUCUACUAAAAAUACAAACAUUAGCCAGGCAUGGUGGCACCCGCCUGUAAUCCCAGCUACUCAGGAGGCUGAGGCGGGAGAAUUGCUUGAACCCGGGAGGCAGAUGUUGCAGUGAGCCGAGAUCACGCCAUUGCACUCCAGCCUGGGCGACAGAGCAAGACUCUGCUUCAAAAAAAAAAAACAAAAACAAAAACAAAAAGAUGUUCACAUUAAAGGAAGCUGGGCAAAAGAUAUAGAGAAGGCUCUGUACUAUCUUUGCAACUUAUCUGUAAUCUAAAACGAUUGCAAAGUAAAAAGUUUGAAAAAAGACUCAAUAAACCUAUUUAGGAUUCCACUCUUUAGGAUUCCACUUAUAUGAGCUACCCAGAGAAAUUUAUAAUGAAAGAAAGUAGAGGCCAGG
rnacentral:lncRNA from 1 species